rnacentral:rRNA from 1 species
UGAGUAACCUGCCCUUAACUCUGGGAUAAGCCUGGGAAACUGGGUCUAAUACCGGAUAUGACUCCUCAUCGCAUGGUGGGGGGUGGAAAGCUUUAUUGUGGUUUUGGAUGGACUCGCGGCCUAUCAGCUAGUUGGUGAGGUCAUGGCUCACCAAGGCGACGACGGGUAGCUGGUCCGAGAGGAUGACCAGCCACAUUGGGACUGAGACACGGCCCAGACUCCUACGGGAGCAG